GGAAGGGUGGCCGAGUGGUUUAAGGCAGCGGUCUUGAAAACCGCCGUGGGUGAAAGCCUACCGUGGGUUCGAAUCCCACCCCUUCCGCCA
rnacentral:tRNA from 1 species